AUGUAUUUCAGUGCUUCAAAGCCUUCAGAUGAACCUGACGUAAGUAACAGUCCCCCUAAAGUGAGCGUCCUGCCGCCGUCCAGUGAAGAGAUUUCCACAAAGCAAACAGCAACACUGAUGUGUGUGGCCAACAAGGGCUUCCCCUCAGACUGGAGUCUGAACUGGAAGGUGGACGGGAUCAGCAGCAGGUCUCAGUACAGCAGUGUUGCUCUCCUGGAGAAGGACGGUCUGUACAGCUGGAGCAGCAGUCUGACUCUCUCUGAGCAGGAGUGGAGCUCAGUGAUCUCAGUCAGCUGUGAGCUCACACAGAAAGACCAGCGUGAUAAAGUCACUGGAGAAUUGAGGAGAGAUCAGUGUUCACAGUAG